rnacentral:tRNA from 1 species
CGCGGGGUGGAGCAGUCUGGUAGCUCGUCGGGCUCAUAACCCGGAGGUCGCAGGUUCAAAUCCUGUCCCCGCAACCA